rnacentral:rRNA from 1 species
GACGAACGCUGGCGGCGUGCCUAAUACAUGCAAGUCGAACGAGAGCGACCGGUGCUUGCACUGGUCAAUCUAGUGGCGAACGGGUGAGUAACACGUGGGUAACCUGCCCAUCAGAGGGGGAUAACAUCCGGAAACGGAUGCUAAAACCGCAUAGGUCUUCGAACCGCAUGGUUUGAAGAGGAAAAGAGGCGCAAGCUUCUGCUGAUGGAUGGACCCGCGGUGCAUUAGCUAGUUGGUGAGGUAACGGCUCACCAAGGCCGUGAUGCAUAGCCGACCUGAGAGGGUGAUCGGCCACAUUGGGACUGAGACACGGCCCAAACUCCUACGGGAGGCAGCAGUAGGGAAUCUUCCGCAAUGGACGCAAGUCUGACGGAGCAACGCCGCGUGAGUGAAGAAGGUGUUCGGAUCGUAAAACUCUGUUGUUAGAGAAGAGCAAGUGCUAGAGUAACUGUUAGCGCCUUGACGGUAUCUAACCAGAAAGCCACGGCUAACUACGUG